rnacentral:rRNA from 1 species
GACGAACGCUGGCGGCGUGCCUAAUACAUGCAAGUGGGACGCAAGGGAACACACUGUGCUCGCACACCGUGUUUUCUUGAGUCGCGAACGGGUGAGUAACGCGUAGGUAACCUGCCUAUUAGCGGGGGAUAACUAUUGGAAACGAUAGCUAAUACCGCAUAAUAUUAAUUAUUGCAUGAUAAUUGAUUGAAAGAUGCAAGCGCAUCACUAGUAGAUGGACCUGCGUUGUAUUAGCUAGUUGGUAAGGUAAGAGCUUACUAAGGCGACGAUACAUAGCCGACCUGAGAGGGUGAUCGGCCACACUGGGACUGAGACACGGCCCAGACUCCUACGGGAGGCAGCAGUAGGGAAUCUUCGGCAAUGGACGAGAGUCUGACCGAGCAACGCCGCGUGAGUGAAGAAGGUUUUCGGAUCGUAAAGCUCUGUUGUAAGUCAAGAACGUGUGUGAGAGUGGAAAGUUCACACAGUGACGGAGCUACCAGAAAG